rnacentral:tRNA from 1 species
GAGGGUAUAGCUCAGUGGUAGAGCACAUGCUUAGCCUGCUCAAGGUCUUGGGUUCAAUCUCUGGUACCUUCA